rnacentral:sRNA from 1 species
GCAGAAAACAGGACUCCAGAAUGACAUCAAAUACAUGUAGGCAGCUUAACAGAUGAAUGAUUUUAAAGCAGGGAAAGGGUGACAUCACUUGAGUAUGUGCCACUGAAACAACCUGCUGACUGACUGCUAAAAAAGGGAAGAUUCAAGACCACUACAGUCUAUCUGUGGACUUAUAGACCCAAGUACACGGCUUAAUAUUGUAAAGUCAUUUCAUUUUUAGAAAGGUAAGGGAGAAUGUUUGUGAACUUUGCUUGGGCAAAAAUCAUCUCAGAUAAAAGAGCAAAAUGACUGUGUGCUAGCAAGAUGGUUAAACAUUGAUGUUGAUGUAGAUGUUGAAAUAGAUCUAACACCUUUUGGAGGCAAAAUUGUGCAGCAACUACAAAGCUGUUUGUACAUGUAAAAUAUGACACACUCCCAUCCUGCCCACAUGUCCCCAUGCUGGAAAGGACAGCCUGCAUUUAAAUUUCAAGAAAUCUCUAUGUGACUGUUUGCAGCAGCUUAAGGGUCCCUGUACAAAUGACACAUUUGUGACCAUUGAAAUAUCCCCAAGCUGAUGACAAGGUAAACCUCUCAACACAAGAAACUACUCCAACCACAUGCCUGUGUGCCCUUUCUCAUGCCACUUUAACAAGACAAAUGUCCCAUAGGCUCCUAACCCAAAAUGUCUGUAUACUAAGCCAGCCAGCAAGCUUAUGCAAACUCGAGGUCAGAGAGCUACAGGAUGUGGUCCCUUUGCAGUUACAUUUGAGCAGAGACCACCAACUGCCACUACUCGCUUCCUCCUCUCACUUCUCUACAAGUUUCCUUCCAGCUUUUCAUAACCUCUCUGUAUAACAUUUGCUGGUGAGAUUCUUGAGAAAUUCUGAAUUGAGAGCAGAGUUCUGGGUCAGCAGGGCUGUGCAUACGGUCUCUCAGCAUCUCCCCGAAGUGCUUGUUCCUGACAGGCUACUGCUCGGCACUGCACUGUGAGUGAUGAGCUGAGGAGGUUGCUCUGACAAGAUGGAGGAACUGAGGCAGGAUUCUCUGCUCCAUGGAUCCACUGUACGGCGUCUGCAAAGAUAGUGUUCCAGCUCCUUGAAAUUGGAUGUCUACUUCUUGAAAUGGACACCUUUCAGGCCAAGAUUUUGGAGAGGCCCAUGGAGAUGGAGAACACACUGGCAGCGAACAUGGGAGAGAGCAAAACUCCGCCUGGUGACAUGUGGAAGCCAGAGACCACAAAGGAGCCAAAGCAGACAACAUUGCCAAAGCUACCAUCCGCCUGAGCAUCGUGGGAUGGAAUGGAGGCAAACCAGGGACUCCAAGCAACCUCGGUGGGCACACUGUGAAUUCCUAUAUGGUUGAAAGGAAGUCUGCAGUCCUCUCCCAACAGUCUGUGGGUCUGUCUGUCUAUCUGUCUGUCUAUAAGCAUGCGUGCUUUCUGUGUCAGCCUCAGAACCUCACUUCUCAGGCAAGCAUCCCAGCACCUGAGAAACAACUUGAGAUCCUCCACCUGUCUCAGGUCAGCCACGUCUCCCAUCUCUGUCUGAAAUGACUCCAGCCCUGCCGUGUCCCUUGAGUGAAGUCUGGAAAGAAACUAGGCUGAGAGUGGCCAGCUCAGCUCCCUACACUUCUGACCUGCAGGCUGUCAUAGAAAACAAUGGUUCUUAUAAUCAAUUACUAAAUUUUGGAAUAUUUUCUUUAACUGGGAAAAAAAUUCAAAUGCAACUAUCAAAAAUGGACCAUAUAGCAGAGGACGAUGUGGAAUGUGGUUAGGAAAUGGGGAUUUCAACAUGAAUUCCAGGGAUCAAACUUGGGCAGUCGGGCUUGCAAAGCCAAUAGCACCUUUGGUAGCUAAGCUACCCCCUACUCUUUCUCAUUUGUGCUGAAUUCAGUGUGUUGUUUGGGAUUAAAUUUUUCCCCACUUAAUGUGUAAUUGUGCAUACAUAUAUAAAUACAUGUGACUUUACAUAUGUAUGAAUAUGUAUAUAUUUAUAUAUAUUUAAAUAUAAGUAUAUAUCCUGAACGAAAUGCUAUAGGCUCCAUAGCUUUUCAAUGAAUGAAUUUUGAGUGGAGGGGUGGGAAUGGGGGAGGAACCGAGUUGUGCUUAGGCUGUGGAGAGGCUGAAGCAAUUUGAUGUCCUGUACUGCUGCCACCUAAGACCAGGUUGAUGUCUGUGGUCCGGGCUGCCACCAGGGGCUGUGUCUGGGUCCCUGGUCCUGCUGCUGUGUCCACGGCCCCUGUGGCCCUUGUUACCACUGAAGGCCAUGUUGAUGUCUGUGGGCUGGGCUGUCUGGGAGGACAGUGUUGGUGCCCAUGACCCUUACUGCCACUGGAGACCAUGCUGAGUCUGUGGAACAUGCUGGCACCAGAGGCCGCGUGGAUGUCAUCAUCCGUGCUUUCAGCAGAUACCAUGUGGAGGUUCGUGAUCCGUGCUUCCCCUGACUGUAAAGGACAAGGAAGCUCCCUCUUUAGAGGUCCUGAGGACUGCAGACUCACAGAUGACAAAGAGGGACAUAGAACGUUUCAGUGACAACACCUAACCUCCACCCCCAUCCCCCAAAAAGUAACAUUCUAAACAGGAAACCACCGAGAGAACUUUUAAAGAUUGUGAUAAGGACAGAAAUGUAGCUCUCCACAAAUGGAUGGCACAGGAGAGGGUGGGGGAGGGGAAGGACUCACUCUUCUUUAAGGGACUGGCCACCAGGAGUUUGACUGUACUCCAGUGACUACAUGGACAAAAAAAUAAGAGAGAGGAGGCCACAAUGGUGGGUAAUAAGUGUGUGCAUGAGGGCGUGGGAGGGCUGGUAAGUAAGGAUGAUCAGGGUACAUUGUGUGAAAUUCCCAAUAAUCAAUGAAAAAUUAUGUUUAAAAGUGGAAAAAAUAAAAAUAAAGUGUGAGAAAUAAA